rnacentral:rRNA from 1 species
CCUACGGGAGGCAGCAGUGAGGAAUAUUGGUCAAUGGCCGGAAGGCUGAACCAGCCAUGCCGCGUGAAGGUCAGUGCCCUAUUGGCGUUAAACUUCUUUUGUGCGGGAGCAAUAAUGGUCACGUGUGGCCAGACGAGAGUACCGUACGAAUAAGGAUCGGCUAACUACGUGCCAGCAGCCGCGGUCAUACGUAGGAUCCGAGCAUUAUCCGGAGUGACUGGGUGUAAAGAGUUGCGUAGGUGGCAUAAUAAGUAGCUAGUGAAAUCUGGUGGCUCAACCAUUCAGACUAUUAGCUAAACUGUUAAGCUCGAGACCGUUAGGGGUAACUGGAAUUUCUAGUGUAGGAGUGAAAUCCGUAGAUAUUAGAAGGAACACCAAUAGCGUAGGCAGGUUGCUGGGACGGUUCUGACACUAAGGCACGAAAGCGUAGGGAGCAAACGGGAUUAGAUACCCUGGUAGUC